AAACGGUUGUGGCGACAUUGGAUCCACCAUCCACGACGCGAUGAUGUCACACACUUUGACACUCACAUUCGUCGUGGAAACCAACGCAGUAUACGCACUAACACGAAUGUACGUGAAAAGUAGAAAUGCAUUAUUCAAAUCAUUGACAGACUAAACUAAAGCUAUAUCUACUAAAGUAAAGGCGUGUGUGUUAUUGAGUAUUGACAUCGACAAAUAUUGAAUAAUAAUAAUGUAGAUUUACGUACUACUAUCUCUGCUUGUCAACUUUUAAUAUAAAAAAAGGUGGGCAAGUGGAUAUUGCUCUACUGUAUAGUAGACAUGGAGAUGAGUUGGUCACUAUAUAAUGGAUGUGUAAAUUUGAAUGCAAUGGCAGGUAUCAUUGUAUACGAAAAACGAUUCUGAACGGAGAUGAUUUUUACUUGAUGGAAAACUUAUGGAUAACUUUGUAUUGGGUUUUACCUAACCUUAAGUAUAAAUCACAAACAUUUUGUGAAUUUUCAACUUCAAAAUUCCUUGCAAAUUUUCGCGAUUUUGAUAUAUUUUGUAAACAUUUGAACUUUAAAUGCUUAUAAAUAGGGCUUAAAUACUUAAUUAUAAACAAAAAUUGUGACUAA